CCCAAAGCAGUCAAAAUUUAAGUCUUUGCCUUUAAACCAAUUCUUUUCUAUGUGUGUUAUAUUACAGGGACACCUACCUUACAGCCCCAGCAGCUGGGCUCUGAGUGAACCGCAGCCUCACAGAAUGCAGCCAUUUUGGACCAUGAGGUGAACUUACCCGUGCAAGCCCUGCUCUGUGGAGCAACCCGAUGGAAGGACCUACCACCAGGGGCUUCUGUCCAGCCUAGAAUGCCUACCCAGCUUUCAUAGGAAAGCAAAAUAAACUACCUGAGCCAGUAUUA